UCGAGAAUCUUCGGCAAUGGGCGCAAGCCUGACCGAGCGACGCCGCGUGGAGGAUGAAGGCCUUCGGGUUGUAAACUCCUGUCGAGGGGGAAGAAGGGCCGAAAGGCCUUGACUGAUCCCUGGAGGAAGCACGGGCUAAGUUCGUGCCAGCAGCCGCGGUAAGACGAACCGUGCGAACGUUAUUCGGAAUCACUGGGCUUAAAGCGCGUGUAGGCGGGACGGCACGUCGGUCGCUGAAAGCCCCCGGCUCAACCGGGGAACGGGCGCCGAUACGACCGCCCUGGAGGGACGUAGGGGGACCUAGAACUUCCGGUGGAGCGGUGAAAUGCGUUGAGAUCGGAAGGAACGCCCGUGGCGAAAGCGAGGUCCUGGACGUUUUCUGACGCUGAGACGCGAAAGCCAGGGGAGCGAACGG
rnacentral:rRNA from 1 species